AGCGAACGCUGGCGGCAGGCCUAACACAUGCAAGUCGAACGGAUCCUUCGGGAUUAGUGGUGGACGGGUGAGGAACACGUGGGAACAUGAACAUUGGUUCGGAACACCUCAGGGAAACUUGAGAUAAUAACGGACGUGACCUAAGGGGGAAAGAUUUUUUGAAAUUGUAGGGGCCAGCGUCUGAUUAGCUCGUUGGUGAGGUAACGGCCCACCAAGGCGACGAUCAGUAGCUUGUCUGAGAGGAUGAUUAGCCACACUUGGAGUGAGACACGGCCCAGACUCCUACGGGAUGCAGCAGUGGGUAAUCUUGCGCAAUGGGCGAAAGCCUGACGCAGCCAGGCCGCGUGAAUGAUGAAGGUCUUAGGAUUGUAAAAUUCUUUCAGCGGGGACGAUAAUGACGGUACCCGCAGAAGAAGCUCCGGCUAACUUCGUG
rnacentral:rRNA from 1 species